CCUAUUUUUUUGGAUUAUAUUUGUUUACAAACCUGCAGGACAACUACCUUAAGUAAUGCGUGUGUCUGUAGAUGUAUGUGCUUGUGAAAACACACACACACGCUAACACAGAGGUUAGUGAGUGUGUGUCUCUCUUGCCCUUGUUAUGUAUUGCUGUUUAUCCAGACAGGGUCAGCUCUAGCGAUGGCUUCAUUCCUGAUGACAGAUUUAUGACUGUUUGCCAGAAAGCUAGCAGGGGGCCUGCUGUGACCGUGUGUGCGUGCGUGUGUGUUUAUGUCUGUGUGUGUGUGUGUGUGUGUGUGUGUGUGUGUGUAAGAAGAAGGAGGGAAACAUGUUUUGAAAGCGCACACAUUCACACCCACAAAAAAACAGGGGAGUGGACCCUGAAAAUACAGCAGUAGGGAAUUAAUCUAUUUAUCCUACACUACUGCUUAUUUCCUUUUCACCAUUACGUCAUCAUUGAUAAACAUCAGAUGGCUCAUGUUUUUUUUCUUUAAUAAGAAAAAGUACAAGCUGUUGCGUCGCCUGAUGCGACAUCAUUUGAGCAGAAAAAGGGAAUUGUUUUAUUGUUCUGUUGAGGGGGAAGGACAAAACUGAUUGUCUUCAACGUCUAGGAAAAGGGAAAUUCAGUAUUUUCUUCCCCUCUGAGGUAACAGGCCAGUAACUGAGAACUUCAUUAUUAUACACACCUUUUUUUCUUUUGCUGUUUUGCUUACUCUUUUACCGACUAAGCCACAGAAAGAUGUAAUAGAGGAUAACGUGUAGUUCCCCUUUUUUUGAAACAAAGCUCUCACAUUGUUUAGAAAAGUAAAAAGUUCACAUUCUGGAAACGAGGGAGAUGAAUUAAAGGUUUGUGUAAGGUCUGUUUUAGACUACUUAACUUACAAGAUAAAUACUGUAACUAAAAAAAACAGAGCCUAACCAAUUCAUAAGACACAAACAGUCUUGGGAGAUCAUACACGGAUCCUUCCUUACUUCCUACCUGCGUGCAGUCUACUUCCUCUUUUAACAAUGACUUUCAGUUAAGUUUUUAGGGAAGUUUUGCUGAGAGGAGAAGAGAGAAAGUUCCUUAUGGCCCCCGGGAGAGAGGAGAUCGAGUGUGAUUAAGAUACAAAGCAAAAGGGAACUGCGUUGUGUGAGGGGAAAGGGAAGAAGAAAAGGCCACAAGGUGAACGGAGUGUGUCGUUGUAGUGGCGAGUCUGAACUUCUCAGUAUUCCCUUUGUCUUCUUUAAACUGCCAUUGUUGAUUUGAAAGUUUUCUGUGUGCUGUCUAAGAACUGAACUGUGUGUGGAGGUUGGGUAAGAUUUGAAAGUUUUACCCAUCACACAGUGUAACAGCGAGGUUUGAAUGACCCAUGGCCUCUGGACGCAGUUAAUUCUCCCUUCUCAUCCUCUUGCUCUCUGUCUCCUCUUCGCCCUGCCUCGCUCUGACAGAGCGGUAAGUGUAGCCAGCUCCACUGUACUCUCCCUGCAGCUCCUUAGACAUUAAUCCAUUGUGAUGACAUCGACCUUGCUCUAAGAUGUGUACGAUUGUGUGUGUGUGUGUGUGUGUGUGUGUGUCCAGUAUCUCCCCUCCAGCUGAUAACUACGCAGGUAUCACUAGUCCGUUCAAUGACGAUCUUCUCUCCUUGGCUGUCAAAACAGUCGUCCUAGGGAGCCCUGAAGACUGGUUGCUCAGUUGGCUGUGCGUGCGUGUGUGUGUGUGUGUGUGUGUGUGUGAAACAUGCAAGUCGUAUCAUAACCUCUGCUGGAAGAGAACCUCACUGCCCUCUGGAGUUCCCCUCAGCCUCCAGGAGACGAGGGGGUCUUUGUCUCCUAUGCUCCCCCAGCUGAGGAGCCUGGUCUCUGGGCACACACAGCAGUGACCCAGGGGUCCCGGCCCCUCUGGAGAGAGGGAAGCUGAGCGGCACAAGAGGCCAUCUGGUACCCAGUGGAGCCAGUUGCGCACACACACACACACACACACACACACACACACACACGCACACACGCAUACCCUCUCUCUGUCAUACAUACACUUUUGACUUUAACAAAUGAGUAUCACUCUGAGUCUCAGGUCUAGAUUUAAAGCCCAUGUGGAUCCUCAUAAGCCUUUCAGAGAGACGGUUCUGGAUCAGAACACUAUACAACAAGGAGUGGGAUUGGAAGUGGUCAGACCGCCGAUUCAAUGCUCUCCUUGUGCACAAAUUUGUUUGCGUGAAUUUGAGGUAAUUUAUGAAUAUUACUUAAGGAAGUGGUGGUAAAGGUGUCCGAGAAAAUUUAGAGCCCGUAAUUAGUUGUAGCUGUAAAUAAAAUGAAACAGAAUUAUGUUCUGUCAGCAGGUUAAAGCUGCAAUCAUCCACAAAUUCUCAUCAUUCGUAACAGCAAGUUAUUUUUCAGGCCAAAGAUUUGCUGCUUCUCUUUUUUCUGAAAAUCUUUGGGGUCUGGAUGUUUUACUGACAAACAAGUAAAAGAUUUGUGAAAUCAAGAUCAGUGAAAAUUGUCCUGAAGAUGGGUUGUAUAUGACUUCUGAUUAGCCUGACAAAAGACUGGGAAUGUGCAUCCUUUCAAGAUGUAAACAAAUCAACAAAUUUAGGGAAAAAACGAAGGAAAUCAAAAUAAUCGUGACUUGGAGAGGCGUCUGGGUUGUAGUUUUCUUCUGAGGCUUAAAAUAGUAUCCAGUUAAAGAAAACUGAACAAAUAUGUUCUCUAUUCUUCCUGCCUCCAUGUCUUGGUGUGUGUGCGCGCCUGUGUAUAUGUGUGUGUGUGUGUGUGUGUGUGUGUGUGUCACGAGUGUGUUUGUGUUUGAGGUCAGGUCAUGCAGAUGGUGUGAAGUUGCAGCAGACGGUUUCCUCAAUUUAACUGCUUUUUUAUUAUGCAAAUCACCCUUUUAUGAGACACACACUUGUUUGUGUGCGCGUCUGUGUGUGCGUGUGUGUGUGUGUGACUGUGUCCAUGUUUUUGUGCCCAUUUUCAAUUGAUUGUGUCAAUUCAAUGAAACAUUAAGUUAUCCAAGAUGUCAUUCUCAAAGUGUGUAAUGUUAGGGCUUUAAACGCAGAAUGAUUCUUUGAAGGGGUUUAGUGCAUGGGAGAUCAAGAUCAAAGAGAGAACGUUUUUAAUGCUACAAAUCUGAUUAUUUAACAUCUAGCACUGGUUGAUCUUCUUUCCUAGGUUCCUCCAGCCUCAUAAGCUUGUUUAUUUAUUGAUUAUUUCUGUGUUU